UAUUGGAUCUUAGGGCUUUUCUAGGCAAAUAGAGAUUUCGGAUCAUGGGCCCUUACCAUGUCUGUGCGAUGGGCCUUCAGAGCGCGUGGGCCCAUCUUUACAAAGGUCCAAACAGUGCCCAUCCGUCAGGCCCAUUAAGAUAAGCCCAUCAGACUAAAUUUUACUAUCUUCAGUUGCCCCCUUCACCCCAAUGGUCCGUCUGCUUUUAGGUCAAAGGACCAAUGGGGUGACGAUUCUAAUGUAUGGGCGUGACGGGUAUUUUGAUGACGGAGUGGGAUUCGCGAAACAGAAGGUUGAAAAUGUUUGACGGAUCCAACCGUCAGAUAGGACGACGGUUUCAUAUGGAUUUAACCGUCAGACAUGAUGACGGGUAUCUUGCUAUUUCAGACGGUUUAAUCGAGUCGACGGUUACAAACUGCUGAUGCGAGCAGACAGGUUGUCAGCAUUUAUUAGCAUGCCACGUGUCAAUCUCUGAAUGGCCGUUGUAUAGGAUCGAAGCGUCGCUUCGUCUUCCGUGCAUCUCCUAUAUAUAUGAGGCGUCUCAAUCUCUCAUUUUCGCAUUUCCAAACAGAAAACGUCUGUCGGAGAGAACCGUCAACCUUGUCAGAGCAAUCCGUCGAGUACCGGUAACCACCAAUUACCACAACCGUCACCCGUUCUGCGCCAGGUGUGGUAGACAGCGUCCGCAGAUUAGCCUCGAGGAAUUUAGUUUCCUUGAAGAGAUUUGCAGAAAAACUAGGCCGGAGGAAAGGACCUGGGCUAAGUUAGUGAAUCCAAAGACAAUACACUGGUAUUGUGACGGUCCAGAACCCACCCGUGAGGCCAUUGCAUACGACGAAAGAAUACACAAACAAAUGGACGACGCCAAGAGAAGGGCAAUGAUAAAAUCUCUAGCCGUCGAGCAAAAGAAGACGGGUGAGAUCGUUGUUCCCAGUGUGCCGGGGUCAUCGGGUAAGAGGAAGCAGCCACCCAAGUCCGACCGUCCACUCAAGCAGCCAAAGGUGUCAAUGGAGCCCGUGGUGGGCUUGAUGGCUGAGGGCCCUAAGGCCGUCACCCAAGUUAAACAAGGGGCCGGUAAGGGCCUAAUGCAUGCUCCACCCGUCAGCGAGGAGAAGCCCCCUCCCCUUCUCCGUGAGGACUCGAAGUUCGCUUUGGAGAAACUCACGUCCAUACUUUCUGCAGAGGACUAUGAGGAUCUUGGGAAUCACUCGACGGAGGUGAUGGGGGAGACGGGGUUAUUUGCCGUCGGACAGUCCUUGGUUAUGAUGAAGGGCUUGAUGGACCGCUGCCUCAACCGUGAAGCGGCUCUGGAACGGGUACGGUCAAAACUUGGGCAGACGGAAGAGGAGCUUGGCCAGCUGCACAAGUGGAA